AAUAACCAAAAAAUGAAGAUAUUUGGCUCUGGCACAAAGCUCAUCGUCACAGAUAAAAACCUUGAUGCAGACGUUUCCCCGAAGCCCACUAUUUUUUUUCCUUCAGUUGCUGAGACAAAUCUCCAUAAGGCUGGAACACAUCUUUGUCUUCUUGAGAAUUUUUUCCCUGAUGUUAUCAAGGUGUAUUGGAAAGAAAAGAACAGCGAUAAGAUCCUGGAAUCCCAGCAGGGAGAUACCAUGAAGAUUAAUGAUACAUAUAUGAAACUUAGCUGGCUAACCGUGCCUGAAACAUCACUGGAUAAAGAGCACCUGUGUGUCGUCAAACACGAGAAUAACAAAGGAGGAGCUGAUCAAGAGAUUCACUUUUCUCCAGUAAAGAAAGCGUAUGCCAGCCCUAGUGGAAACGUGGAUGGAUAG